rnacentral:rRNA from 1 species
GGUAAUACGUAGGGGGCUAGCGUUAUCCGGAUUUACUGGGCGUAAAGGGUGCGUAGGCGGUCUUUCAAGUCAGGAGUGAAAGGCUACGGCUCAACCGUAGUAAGCUCUUGAAACUGGGAGACUUGAGUGCAGGAGAGGAGAGUGGAAUUCCUAGUGUAGCGGUGAAAUGCGUAGAUAUUAGGAGGAACACCAGUUGCGAAGGCGGCUCUCUGGACUUACUACGUGAGGC